AACAUGCUACACAUAUUCCUUGC
rnacentral:siRNA from 1 species